UACGGAGGGUGCGAGCGUUAAUCGGAAUUACUGGGCGUAAAGGGUGCGCAGGUGGUUGUGUAAGUCUGAUGUGAAAGCCCCGGGCUUAACCUGGGAACUGCAUUGGAGACUGCACGGCUAGAGUGCGUCAGAGGGGGGUGGAAUUCCACGUGUAGCAGUGAAAUGCGUAGAGAUGUGGAGGAACACCGAUGGCGAAGGCAGCCCCCUGGGCUGACACUGACACUCAUGCACGAAAGCGUGGGGAGCAAACAGG
rnacentral:rRNA from 1 species